GAGAGGGAUUGUUUUUGUUUCUGUUUUUGUAAAUUGUUGUAGUUGUAGAUGAGGUAGUAAAAUUCUCACGUCUUGCGCAUAUUAUGGAACGAGUGAGAAUUGCAUAACGAUAAAACUGUCUUUGACAAUUGGAUGUAGUUUGUCUCUGGUUCAUAAGAAGUGAAACAAGAGUCAUGGAAUUUCUAGUAGCUUCUUCUUGCAUGAACAUUGUCUCGAGAUUUAGACGAGAAAUUGCUGCUUAAAAAACGAUUGGCCAAAAGACUUAUUCCCAACCAAGUAGUUAACAGAGAUGCUUGGGAGCGUGACAAAGAUUCGUCUUUGGGUAGAGACGUAGAUGAUGAAGAUUCGUCUUCGAGUGGUGAUGCUGAUCCUAAAGUGAUGAAGCGCGAUGAAGCAGGACAUCGUUCGUGGGUCUUUGUCGUGCUUCUCUAGUUGGUUCAAUUCAUCUUGAAAGGGCACACUUCAUGGUUGUGUCUUCCUCCAAAAGAGGGGAGGGAGCAUUGACAGAGAAGGGGGUAUGAGAGGUUAGUUGAAAAACGGUUGUUGGAGAAGGAAGGGGAAAAAAUGAAACCCUAUGGGGAAAAGAGAAACUUUUCAAACUUUGAGUGAGAAAAAUUGCUAGCAUUUUAAACUAAAAUAAAAAAUGAGAUAAAAUUUUAGCCUCAUGUUAGGAUUGCAGCUUGUGGAAUGACAUAUCUAUACAUUCUUGCGUAUGAUAGUCGAAUUGCGUAUUGUAUUAUGUAUUGAAAAUAUCAUUUUUUUAUUAUAUUUAUGAUAUGCCUUUUAAAAUUUCUCAUAUAAUCCCUUAU